UACGAAGGACCCGAGCGUUAUCCGGAUUUAUUGGGUUUAAAGGGUGCGUAGGUGGACUAAUAAGUCAGUGGUGAAAGCCUGCAGCUUAACUGCAGAACUGCCAUUGAUACUGUUAGUCUUGAGUACAAUUGAAGUGGGCGGAAUGUGUCAUGUAGCGGUGAAAUGCUUAGAUAUGACACAGAACACCAAUUGCGAAGGCAGCUCACUAAACUGUAACUGACACUGAGGCACGAAAGCGUGGGUAGCAAACAGG
rnacentral:rRNA from 1 species